UACGUAGGGUGCAAGCGUUGUCCGGAAUUAUUGGGCGUAAAGAGCUCGUAGGCGGUUUGUCGCGUCGAAUGUGAAAACCCGGGGCUCAACCCCGGGCCUGCAUUCGAUACGGGCAGACUCGAGUUCGGUAGGGGAGUCUGGAAUUCCUGGUGUAGCGGUGGAAUGCGCAGAUAUCAGGAGGAACACCGGUGGCGAAGGCGGAUCUCUGGGCCAUUACUGACGCUGAGGAGCGAAAGCGUGGGGAGCGAACAGG
rnacentral:rRNA from 1 species